UACGGAGGGAGCUAGCGUUGUUCGGAAUUACUGGGCGUAAAGCGCGCGUAGGCGGCUUUGUAAGUUAGAGGUGAAAGCCCGGAGCUCAACUCCGGAACUGCCUUUAAAACUGCAUCGCCUGAAUCCAGGAGAGGUGAGUGGAAUUCCGAGUGUAGAGGUGAAAUUCGUAGAUAUUCGGAAGAACACCAGUGGCGAAGGCGGCUCACUGGACUGGUAUUGACGCUGAGGUGCGAAAGCGUGGGGAGCAAACAGG
rnacentral:rRNA from 1 species